GGGGGGCUGGCGCAACGGUAGCGCGUCAGAUUCCAGCGGCUUUACAACCGAUUCGAAAUUCCUGAAGGUUACCGGUUCAAAUCCGGUGUCCCUCA